AAAGCGCGCGCAGGUGGUUUGUUAAGUUGGAUGUGAAAGCCCCGGGCUCAACCUGGGAACUGCAUCCAAAACUGGCAAGCUAGAGUAUGGUAGAGGGUGGUGGAAUUUCCUGUGUAGCGGUGAAAUGCGUAGAUAUAGGAAGGAACACCAGUGGCGAAGGCGACCACCUGGACUGAUACUGACACUGAGGUGCGAAAGCGUGGGGAGCAAACAGGAUUAGAUACCCCAGU
rnacentral:rRNA from 1 species